rnacentral:rRNA from 1 species
AACGAACGCUGGCGGCAGGCCUAAUACAUGCAAGUCGAGCGCUCUAGCAAUAGAGAGCGGCGCACGGGUGCGUAACGCGUGGGAAUGUACCUCUAGGUGCGGAACAACGUCGGGAAACUGACGCUAAUACCGCAUAAUAUCUCCGGAUCAAAGAUUUAUCGCCUAGGGAUCAGCCCGCGUUGGAUUAGCUAGUUGGUGAGGUAAUGGCUCACCAAGGCGACGAUCCAUAGCUGGUCUGAGAGGAUGAUCAGCCACACUGGGACUGAGACACGGCCCAGACUCCUACGGGAGGCAGCAGUAAGGAAUAUUGGACAAUGGAGGAAACUCUGAUCCAGCCAUGCCGCGUGAGUGAAGAAGGCCUUCGGUUGUAAGACUCUUUAGAUGUGACGAUGAUGACGGUAGACAUCAGAAAAAGACUACCGGCUAACUUCGUG